rnacentral:rRNA from 1 species
UUCCGGUUGAUCCCGCCGGACCUGACUGCUAUCGGAUUGAUACUAAGCCAUGCUAGUCUUUGUAGUAAUACAAGGCAUACGGCUCAGUAACGCGUAGUCAACCUACCCUAUGGACGGGGAUAAUCUCGGGAAACUGAGCAUAAUACCCGGCAGACCACUUAUCCUGGAAUGGUUAGUGGUUAAAAUGAUUCGUCGCCAUAGGAUGGGACUGCGGCCUAUCAGCUUGUUGGUGAGGUAAUGGCCCACCAAGGCGAUUACAGGUACGGGCUCUGAGAGGAGAGGCCCGGAGAUGGGUACUGAGACAAGGACCCAGGCCCUAUGGGGCGCAGCAGGCGAGAAAACUUUGCAAUGUGCGAAAGCACGACAAGGUUAAUCCGAGUGAUUUCUGCUAAAGGAAUCUUUUGUUAGUUCUAAAAAUACUAGUGAAUAAGGGGUGGGCAAGUUCUGGUGUCAGCCGCCGCGGUAAAACCAGCACCUCAAGUGGUCAGGAGGAUUAUUGGGCCUAAAGCAUCCGUAGCCUGUUCUAUAAGUUUGCGGUUAAAUCUAUACGCUCAACGUAUAGGCUGCCGUAAAUACUGUAGAACUAGGGAGUGGGAGAGGUAGACGGUACUCGAUAGGAAGGGGUAAAAUCCUUUGAUCUAUUGAUGACCACCUGUGGCGAAGGCGGUCUACCAGAACACGUUCGACGGUGAGGGAUGAAAGCUGGGGGAGCAAACCGGAUUAGAUACCCGGGUAGUCCCAGCCGUAAACGAUGCAGACUCGAUGAUGCAAUGGCAUAGAGCUAUUGCAGUAUCGCAGGGAAGCCGUUAAGUCUGCCGCCUGGGAAGUACGUACGCAAGUAUGAAACUUAAAGGAAUUGGCGGGGGAGCACCACAAGGGGUGAAGCCUGCGGUUCAAUUGGAUUCAACGCCGGG